GCUUGGUCAGAAGAAAGGCAGCGGAGUGACAAAGCAGUGCUGUCCGACAGCACCGAUGUCUCCUGCGUGUGGCACGGCGCUUCCCGGGAUGAUGGGAAGGUUCCCUCGGCGAGCUUCUGCUGACACCUGCUGCCAGAGCCGAGCCAGCACAGCCCGGCGGGCGCGGCGCCGGCCCUGCCGCGGGACUCCGGGGCGCAGCUUCGGCUUCGGACUGCCGGCGUUGGAUGGGAAGAGAACACUGCUGGGCUGCAUGCUGCCUCUGAGGACCAGGAGAAGAGGAGGCCUGUGACCAACACCCCUCCGGAAUUCCACAGCUGGAAACGUCUGUCAUUGCCCUACCGAAGAAACAAGUGCCUUUGAAAAAUAAUUGCUUUGACCUGGGAAUGGCCCAUUUCCUGAGGGUAAAUGACAAAGAAGAGACAGAAUAGCACUGGGUGAAGAUCAAGCUGAAAUUUUUACAUCUUCCAUCCUGGGCCUGAAAUGAAUGCCUGCUACUUUGACUGUCAGUGCUUGGUUCUCAUCAACGAAGUGGCACGAGUUCAGGUAUGUCCUGUUGCUGACAAUUAAUCACUCUUCUGACCCAUUACAAAUAGACUUAACUUUGUAAUCAGUGUGAUCUUCAAUCCUACUUGCUUGACUGUGAUGUUGUUGUUUGCCUGUGAAAACAGCAUGGCUCUUGCCAUGGUCUCUGGUAGGACUCAUUGCUACACUCUGCAGGGUACUUACCAACCAGGCAGACACUGUAUUUCCUGAAUUUUCCUGUAAGACUGCUUAAAGAUUUAGUUACUUGUGUAAUCUGUAUUCAGCGUUACAACACAGAACUUCCUUAUCCUGUUUGCCAGAUACAGUGUAUAA